UGACCUAUGAAUUGACAGCCAGUAACUGGAGCCUCUGCCUGUCAGUUCUGUAGGCCACU
rnacentral:pre_miRNA from 1 species